GAUGAAGAACGUAGUGAAAUGCGAUAAGUAAUGUGAAUUGCAGAGUUCAGUGAAUCAUCGAAUCUUUGAACGCACAUUGCGCCCGUCAGUAUUCUGACGGGCAUGCCUGUCCGAGCGUCAUUUCAACCCUCAAGCACUGCUUGGCGUUGGCGGAUUGCGUGCCCUCGCGGCGCCGCAACCACCCAAAUACAGUGGCGGUCCCGCUGCGGCUCCCUUUGCGUAGUAACUCACCUCGCACUGGACCGGGCGGCGGCCUGCCGUAAAACCCCAACUCACGAAAUGUUGACCUCGGAUCAGGUAGGAAUACCCGCUGAACUUAAGCAUAUCAAUAAGCGGAGGA
rnacentral:misc_RNA from 1 species